UACGUAGGGACCAAGCGUUGUUCGGAUUUACUGGGCGUAAAGGGCGCGUAGGCGGCAAUUCAAGUCAGUUGUGAAAUCUCCGAGCUUAACUCGGAACGGUCAACUGAUACUGUUUUGCUAGAGUGCAGAAAGGGCAACCGGAAUUCUUGGUGUAGCGGUGAAAUGCGUAGAUAUCAAGAGGAACACCUGAGGCGAAGGCGGGUUGCUAGGCUGACACCGACGCUGAGGCGCGAAAGCUAGGGUAGCAAACGGG
rnacentral:rRNA from 1 species